rnacentral:lncRNA from 1 species
UUUAUCCAUUUUGAUGGGGGACAUGGAGCGCUUCACAAAGGAGCAGGACGAGGCAUUGCAGUUCCUCACCUCCCUAAAGCGACUCCAAUUGUAUUGCCGCAAGCUGCAGUGCCUCCCGGCGGGCCUACAGAAACUGGCAAACCUCGAAACAUUAGUGAUUCCCGGCACUCCAGCCAUUAUCCACUCCCUGCACAGGGGCAGCCUCCCGGAUUCCCUGCAAGAAUUAUUAAUCACCGGAGGAGGCUUCCAGUCACUGCCCAAGGACAGCCUCCCUAACUCCCUGCGAAAAUUAUCAAUCUACAACUGCUCAGCCAUCCGCUCACUGCCCAAGGAGAGCCUCCCUAAUUCCCUGCAAGAAUUAGGGAUCUCCUGCUGCUCAGCCAUCCGCUCACUGCCCAAGGAGGGCCUCCCUGAUUCCCUGCAAGAAUUAGAGAUCUCCGACUGUCCAGCCAUCCGGGCGCUCCCCAAGGGUGGCCUCCCAAGUUCACUGCAGGUGUUAGAUGUCUGCCGUGGCAACAGCGAGGACCUAAGAAGGUAGUGCCGCAAGCUGAUUGGAACCGUUCCAGUAGUCAGAGCCUGAUCAAUCAAGGUAGCAUGCACUUUCCUGUGUUCUACUCGUUCCACUAAUUUCACCUGCUUCAAUUUUCCUAACCUCAUGCUCGUUCUGUUUAUUUCAACGCAGUCACUGCUCCAUAUAAUCCACUUGUUCUUACUCAGUAUUACUCUGCAGGUCUCUGUUUCAAAUGUGCAUUCAUCUAACUCAUACGAUUUGCUCUCUAUCGGUUAUUCGGUUCAUAGUUACGAGCUGUAAGGUAUGAACAUUUUAUCAGCAGGUGCCUUCCACACCGUAAAUAAAUUGGUUUGUACAUACACCAUUUAGCAGUUUAAUCCUAGUUUACUAAUAAAGUUUUAUCAUUCCUUUUUUUUCCCUUUCUUUAGCAGAGCUCUUCUUGGAACUGUACAUUCCUGUAGCCUUAUAGAAAUCUUUCUAUAUCGAUGGACGAUUCUGUGUAAUAAAACUGGUUAGUACAUUUUAACUGUACCAUUCAGAAGUUAAGUUCACAUCGUGCUCCUUGCUAUUUUGUUACUCUGAUUUUUUUUUCCUUUCUAGUCCUUGACUAGAUCAGUCUAGUAUGAGAGUCGGUGCAACUAUUGAUAGAUACAAAACUUUGCAGUACCCUGUUGUUCGAGUCUCGAAGUUUUAAACCUUCAAAAAUAAGCUUCAUCCUCUGUACUUUAGCUUCAGUAAUUUUCAUUCCUAAUCUACUUAUUCGGCAAAUACAUGAGUUUAGCCAAUUUAAGAGAACCUGCUUGGAUUACUGCUUAUUGCCUUGAGGUACUACUGCUGCAGGGUACAGUUAUACACCUUUAUGUUUUUUACACUGAAACUAGUAGUAGUUCUGUACUCUGAUAUUCUGGGCCCUUCGAACCCAUCCAUUUUUUAGCCUCAUAAUAUUCUACUUCUAUACUGUACGUAUUAGUCACCCAUGGUCCUAUACUCCUAUACUCUACAUAGAAGUCAACUUGAAACUUCCAUCCUGUGCAUAAGACUGGUUAGUAUAUGCAAAGUCACCCAUAGUCCUGUACUCCUACACUUAGAAGUUCAGUCCACAUAUUAGCUUCUACAUGUUUCUCUGGUUAAUUAUUUGGGCAUCCAGGGAAAUUACAUGAUGCAUUUGUAUCUCAAUCGUAUGGUUAUCCCUUUUCAUGCACUAUGAUAAUUACUUGUUAAUUCUGGACUUUGAAAUUCUAAUUUCUGUGCCCAAUGUAUGACUAUCUUGUUGUUCAGGUUUGUGGCUUACAUGCUACUCGGCUGCACUUCCUUAUUGUGGACGAAACUUCUCUUUGGCAGAUGUUGCUGCACCAAUGAUCUUUGAAUAGGUUAGUACCGUCAAUUUUCUUCACUAAUUUUGCAUAAUGGACCUUGCGUCAGUAUGCUGUUCAUCAGUAAUUGUAGCCAAAUAGCCAAUUAUAUUUUGAUUACAUAGAGACAGGACUACAAGAGCUAGCAGAUAUGCUGUUAUAGUUGUUUUGAAGCUAAUCUCUAUUAGACAUGUAUAGCCCAAUCAACCAUAGGUUGUUGUAUUCUUGUGACUAAAGUUGUUUAUGCAUAGAAAUUCAGUCGAUUUGAGCUACAAAUGUUUACACCACCCUGCACCUUAAUGAUGCAAAUGUCAGUCGUCAUUCACAAGCUCCUAAGGUUUUGCAAAUCAUUGCACUUUUCAUAUUUUCACCUUCACAUAUAUGUUAACUCCUUGUUUUGUUGCUGUGCCACUUUGCAAAAAAGUUUCUAUUUUGUAAGGAUUUCCCAUGACAGAGUAGUGUGAUCUUUGUUUGCUACCAUGCUAACUAGUAGCUACUGACACUAGGAAGAACUUUGCUAUUAUUUACACAGUAUCGUUGUCAAGAUUAGCGGAUCAAGACUAUGGCUAGUGAAUUUUCUUUUAUGCGCGUAAGGCUUCGGAUGGUGACGUGGGAAGACACGGGAUUAGAUUGUUUCGGGCGAGGAAAGCCCUACGUCCAGUAUGAGGAGCUGCUCGUGUUGCCCACGCGAGGUCUGUAGUAGGGGGUACAAACGGGCGAGAGAGGGAGCCGGUCCCAAGUCUCUUGGGUGUGCACUGAUGCUCUAAAGGUGAGUGUGUGUGUUCUGUUGGCUUCAGAGUCCUCCCGGUAUUGGGGCCCCUGGUUCUCCUUUUAUAGCGCAAGGAGGGCUCAGGGUUACAGGUGAACCGAGUGUGAGGAGAAGUAAAAGAGAUAAGCUACGUAAAGUAAAGUACAAGGAGAAGGAUCAAGUCCCCGGGUCGCCGCCUCCUGCUCCGGCCUUCGGCUCCUGUCAGCGCGUCCACCGAAGGAGGACGGCUGUCUUCGGAUCCUAUCGACGAGCUUCGUGGCGACUGCUGCCGCCAAGCAUGAUGAUGGUGUUCGGUCGUGGAAACUGUGCACGUUGGGGGAGACGGCUGAACCCUGUUGUCCUGCUUACUACGGUCCGUGGGACACGGACGUCGCGUCCCUGUCGCCGGAUACGCGGGGUGCGAGAACGGGCGGAGCUCCCUCCUGUGCCGGGCGGCGCAUGCCAUGAGUGCCCUAUGAUGAAUCAGGGGGAGCCGCGGCCACUGUAGCCUGUGCGGUCGUGGCUACAGUGUUUCGUCCGGGUACUUGUGGCGGUCAUGUCGAGGGGUGCGGGCGCCUUUCCGCGCGCCAGAGCCGCGGCGCAUUUAUGGCAAGAUCGGUGAGGGGCCCACGAGAUCCACGCCCUCGUCUGCCGGUCUGCACCCGAGGUGGACCCUUGUCUUGUGGGUCCGGAUGAGUCCGACCCCCUACGCCCGGGGUUGGGCGAGGCGGAACCUUGCGGCGAGGGGUCGGGCGCAUCCGACCCUGGGACCGUGGGUCGGGCGAGAUGGAGUUUUGCCAUCGAGGGGUCGGGAGUGUCCGACCCCAGUACCCUGGGUCGGGCGAGACGGAGCUGGAUGUUCCCUGCCCAUGCUGGGCAGGCGGCAAUCGUCAUCACCGCAGGUGGACCUGGACCUUCAUGAUUGUUGUAUUAAGGGCAUUAGGAUUUUGUUAAUAUUUCCCCCCAACACACAGCUAAUGUGAAAAUUUCUGUGAAAUUUCUGGUGUUCCUUUAGUUUUGCAGAUCAUCUCUUUGGAGGACGUGUGGACACAGAACCUAUGUAUGUUGGAAAAACUCCUUCCUGGGUUUCAAGUGCUCAUCUGUUCCCUGCUUCUAUUCAACGACUUGGCCGCGUCCUGCUAUUGUCUAUUUGCACAAGCAGCCAUUUUGAGCAGCUUUGUACUGAAUGCGCCUUCAGAUUGCCCUCAAGUUCAUCAGAGUUUCCAUGUGCAUCCGCUAAUCAUCACGGUUGUAGACACUCAUGACCUAGAUACGUGGUUAGUGUUGCAAUCCUGCUCUUGUCUGCCGUGAUACAAGUAGUAUACUCCAAAUAUUGUUUUCCCUCAAUAAAUAUUGAUCAAGUAUUUACAACUAUGUAGCUAACCUGACUAGCAGGAAUUUUUUUUGUCCAGACGCGGCUUGACAAGAUCACAGAUAUCUUCAAAGAGAUUUACUUCUAUUCGUCAGGCUAGAAGUUGGACAAGUCUCUCAUGUUCCUACCAGGAUGCAAGGACGACACUGGACUGAACCAUCAAGAGAAAGUUUGCUCCCGGUAAGAUUCUAAUAGGCACGACACCGGUUCAAUAAGUCAUCCCAAAAGCUCGAAGCAUGCCCAAAGCCAUCCACCAUUCUACUGCAUCACAUCUUUUGAAUGUCCUCGUGCACUAAUCUCUAGGGGAGCAAAGAGAGCAGCUUCUCAAAGUGAAAAAACAAACUGACAACCUUUUCUGAUAUCCAAGACUAUUGUUCGUGUUCAUAAGUAAAAUGUGUUUGAACACUGAAAGCAUAUCUAAAAAAUUUGGCAUUCGGCCAAAAGGCACGCCCUCAAUUUGCAUGAGCUUUUUAUAUUCCCUUCGAAUUUGGUGUUACUGCAAAGUUUCUGUUAUUUUUGUAUUAUUGUAUUGUGCAGAACAAUUUCAUCCAGAACAGAACAGAGCAUGUUAUUGUGUAAUGUCUUUGAAAGAUAAUUUUCUUGUUAAAAAACUAAAGUAAUGUAGUAUUGGAAUUUUCAUGGUACAUUUUUUGAAGGGAAAAGUUUUUUUGUACAUGAUCAUACUAUAAAAUCUAUGGAAUUCAGAAUGUACCUCUGGGUAGCAUGUGGUGUUCUCAAGCUUCUCAAAUUUCCCACUUAUCGGCUUAUCCGGCAUUGGCGCGAGCCAAACAAAACCCGGGGAAAAGGGUGCGGAAAGCAAGGGAUAAUUUGGCGCUGCGGGUGCGGCGAGUCGUCGUGCCCAGAGUGGGCCGUCGUGGAGCUGCAGGGUGUGGUGCAGGCCUCAUGCCCUCAUUCGCCAGUGACAUACUGGGACUCCACAUUGGCCACCUCGGCUCCACCCCCUCGCCCUCCUCCUCUUCCAAGGCAAGGACCCCGAGAUCCCGUCCCUUGUCCCCUCUUGGUGUCUGGUUCCUUUUCUGAAGCUGUUAUUGAUGCAACGCGGCGGUCGUUGCAGGCUGGGUACACCUUCACGAUGGGGUACCGCGAGCUCGCCGGGAUGAAGGUGACGCUCAAGAAGCCUCUGCUUGUGCUCAGGAAGAAGGUGAGUGGCGGUGGUGGUGCCGGGGAUCAAGAGUCACCGUCGUCGGCGGAUGUGGAGCUGGAGGUGAUUGUCAUCAUCCGGCACAAGAUCCUCUUCAAGGACCGUCCCAAGGCCCUCAUCUCAAGUAACUGGGACUCCAAUUGUAUUGCCGCAAGCUGCAGUGCCUCCCGGCGGGCCUACAGAAACUGGCAAACCUCGAAACAUUAGUGAUUCCCGGCACUCCAGGCAUUAUCCACUCCCUGCACAGGGGCAGCCUCCCUGAUUCCCUGCAAGAAUUAUUAAUCACCGGAGGAGGCUUCCAGUCACUGCCCAAGGACAGCCUCCCUAACUCCCUGCGAAAAUUAUCAAUCUACAACUGCUCAGCCAUCCGCUCACUGCCCAAGGAGAGCCUCCCUAAUUCCCUGCAAGAAUUGGAGAUCGACAGCUGUCCAGCCAUCCGGGCGCUCCCCAAGGGCGGCCUCCCAAGUUCACUGCAGAUAUUAGAUGUCCGGGAUGGCAACAGCGAGGACCUAAGAAGGCAGUGCCGCAAGCUGAUUGGAACCGUUCCAGUAGUCAGAGCCUGAUCAAUCAAGGUAACAUGCACUUUCCUGUGUUCUACUCGUUCCACUAAUUUCACCUGCUUCAAUUUUCCUAACCUCAUGCUCGUUCUGUUUAUUCAACGCAGUCACUGCUCCAUAUAAUCCACUUGUUCUUACUCAGUAUUACUCUGCAGGUCUCUGUUUCAAAUGUGCGUUCAUCUAACUCAUACGAUUUGCUCUCUAUCGGUUAUUCGGUUCAUAGUUACGAGCUGUUAGGUAUGAACAUUUUGUCAGCAUGUGCUUUCCACACCGUAAAU